UACGUAGGGACCAAGCGUUGUCCGGAAUCAUUGGGCGUAAAGAGCGUGUAGGCGGCUUGUUAAGUCUUGCGUGAAAUCUCGGGGCUCAACCCCGAGCGGUCGUGAGAAACUGGCAGGCUAGAGUGCGGGAGAGGAGAGUGGAAUUCCUGGUGUAGCGGUGAAAUGCGUUGAUAUCGAUAGGAACUCCGGUGGCGAAGGCGGCAUACUGGACCACUACUGACGCUGAUGCGCGAAAGCCAGGGGAGCAAACGGG
rnacentral:rRNA from 1 species